rnacentral:lncRNA from 1 species
ACUGUGAACAGGGUCUGGGCAUAAGAGGACAGUCACAUCUCUGAUGGGACCAUAGAUACGUCAAAAUGACUUCUGCAGGCAGGGCCCAGGCAAAAGAAUCAGCCAAUUAGCUCAGCAAACUUGGAUUCAAUCAAACAGUUAUCUAAAUAGCGACUGCAGAUUCAUCAAGUCAGGCCCAAAAUAGUAGACGUGACAGCACAUUCCUACACUGAGAAGGCUUCCCCCUGGCAGCAGCAGGCCUCCCAUAGACUCCAGAGUUGCCAAAUCGCUCCAUCAGAUAGAUCCUGCCAGCUUCCCUUUGGCCUACGUGGGGAGACAGAUUCCUGGUGCUUCCUGCUCUGCCACCUCCCCUGAUUUCUCUCCGAAUGUGUUGUCACACACACUUCCUUUCCUCUCAUUGGAAGUAAUCUAACAGCUCAUGGCCCUGCAGUUUUCUCAGGCUCAGUUCCCUCCCAAUAAGAAAAAGAAGAGAAAAUAAUGUAGACAAAUUGCUGUCUGUAGGCAGCAAAUCUGAAUCAAGGUCCUUCCCUUCAAGAAAGAGAAGUAGAAUAAGGAAAAAGGCUAUUGAACUUUUGUGAUUGAUCGAGAACCAUACAUCUAGAUUUAUCUGUAUUCUAGAAUUAGAAAAAAUCUUCAGUGCACAGAGUUAAAUACUGCAAUGCUUUCUACAAUAUUCAAAACCACCAGAGAUUAGGAGCACUUCACUCAAUGGGGCUUGUGCCCCUAAAAACAACCAACCAACCAAAAAAAAACAGGUUCCUGAGAUUGAUCUGUCUCGACAUUUUUGUUUUCUAUCCCGGUACUAUCACUACGCACUUGGACUGUAACACAAACCGAAAAAAAUCAACACAUAAAAAAUAUGACCGGGAUGGACACGGUGGCUCAUGCCUGUAAUCCCAGCACUUUGGGAGGCCGAGGGUUCUUCUGUUACCCAGGCUGUAGGGCAAUGGCACAAUCAUG